CCCUGCGCACUGACGUCAGGCCGGCGACACAGUCCUGCGCAGGCGUCCCGGGCCCCCGCAAAGAGUGGGAUUUUAGCCAUCUGCGGUUUCAGGAAGCUGUGCUGUUGUCGAAAGUAGUUCCCUAGGGUAAGAAGGGAAGCAGGAGUAAAGGAGAACCGGCUCGAAAAGGAGACAGGAAAGAUGCGCAACUGUCCAGAGAGUGGAAACUUAAAAUGGUAAAAGGUAUUUGGGGAAGUGUUUUAGGGACUUUUGCUGUCUCAUGUUCAAUGUAAUUCUAAUUUUAGUGCUCUUGGAAUUGGUUUUGCGGUUGAAGACACAGUAACAUAGCGUACUUUUGAGAAGUGAAUAUAAACAAAAAAAAGGUGCAAGAUGGAUUUUUAAGGAGAAUUCAAAUCGAUGAGGAGCAGAGGAGAAUCGUUGUACUACUCACUGGCCUGCACUGCUUCAUCACAGUAACUCCAUGUUAUUCUCAUCGUGCAAGAAAUAGCCCCAAGGUCACUCAACUGCAGUGAGAAUUCAAACCCAGGAACCAUACUAUUAUCCACCACUCUACUGACAAAAAGGGAAACAAUACCAUUUACUGGUCUAGACCUGAUGCUAAAUGCUUUGCAUACACUACCCUUUAACCCUCAGCAACCCUACGAGGUUGGAAUCAUUAGCUCUAUUUUCUAUAUUGUAUCCUAAGACUCACAGGUGUGCUCUCCAAGCCGACCUGGAGCAGCUUGGAAACUCAAACUGGAGCUCUGCUUUCCUGCUUGAAGCUGUCUGUGCUCCGUCUAAUCAGAUCUCAGGCAGGGAAGUCAUUAAUGAAGGCUUUCCUAUAGACCAAGGUGCCAAGACAUGAACAUUCCACCCCAAAGAGGAAAAGAUAAAGCCGUCAGCUUCUGUUCUGCCUCCUGGCUGAGGUGCUAAGAAACACACUGAGUCACCUAAUGGCAAGCCAGGCCCUUCAGAAAACAUUGACAUCAUCUCCCAGGCUGCUGCCCCUCCCAUGUGCUCUGGCUCUAGGACUGGUGUUUGUCAAUAUCUUUGUGUCAUCCACAUCUUAAUGAAUGGGCUUAGCUUGGCAGAGCCCUCAGAAAUCAAAGGCACUUCUCUGAUCUUCCUCAUUAACUCAGGGGCUGGAAUAGGGUCAGAGUCAGCAAACUGCCCCACCUUCUUCUAUUAUGCCAAUCAGUCUCAAAAGGAAGCACAAGUUAUACAACCAGCUUUGUAAGGAUAGAAAAAGGGAGGACUGCCAUACCCUACUGUGUUGGUAAAGCAUCCUAAAGCAGUUUGCAUAGGUUCCAGUACAAGGUCUUUCUUGUACUGAGCCAGAAAACUCAAUGUCACAAUCUGAGAACAUGCAUAAAUACCACAACAUCUUCCCUGUUACAAACUCCAAAAUACAAGAAUCAGAGAUCAAGUUCCACCCCUCAAAUGGGUAGAGAGUUGACCAGCUACCAGAAGGGAGCUCUAGGACCAAACCCAAACUCCAACUAGUGAGAAUGCUGGAUUUUGACCAAUUACAUAUUCAAAAAAGGUAAUUGUCUUAGUUUGGGUUUUUGUUGUGGCAAUGAAACACCAUGACCAAAAAGCAAGUUGGGGAGGAAAGGGCUUAUUUAGCUUACACUACCAUAUCACUGUUCAUCAAAGGAAGUCAGGACAGGAACUCAAACAGGGCAGGAACCUGGAGGCAGGAGCAUGGAAGGAUAUUGUUUACUGGCUUGCUCCCCCUGGCUUUCUCAGCCUUCUUUCUUGUUGAACCCAGAACCCUCCCCCAGUAAUCAUUAAUUAAGAAAAUGCCUUACAGCCAGAUCUUAUGGAGGCAUUUUUCUCAAUUGAGGUUCUCACCUUUCAGAUAACUCUAAAUCUAGUGUGUCACGUUGGUGUAAGAUUAACCAGCACAGUAAUACAGUGUGUACAAACCUGCUAUGAAAACAUGAGAAGAUGUAACAUGUUUAACUAAUAAAUCAGGUAAACAAGACAUCUCAAUCAAAGGCUCACUGGGUUUGCUGGUGCAUGCCUGUAGUCCUGGAAAGUUCCAGGCCAGCCUAAACCACUACAUAACAACACCCUGACUUAAACAACAAAGCACGAAUAUACACACACAAAAAGAAUACUUCAUUCGGUCUAAUUUUUCUAUAUCCCUGUAAUCAGUAUGAUUUUUUGCUAAUCCUUAAGGGUACAGAUGAAGUUGAGUGAGGAAUACUCAGUAGCCAUCUGAUUGCUAAUGAUCUACCUCGUAUGUCCACCUGAAGUCUCAUGCCUAAACCCCACAGAUCUUCCUUUUGUUUCAACUGAGAUUUCUAGAAUGAUUUACAUGUUUGUCAACUGUGCCAUGUUUUUCUAAUUACUGAAGCACAAAGCCUUAAUGAUCCUCCUCACUGGCUUACAAUUCACUUAAUGUGGUCUCUACGCUACAGCAACUUUCCCUGUAUAAACUCAAGUCUAUUCAUUUCCCACUUCUUUCUCCCUGCAUUUCCCCCAAUCCAAAGUCUCCUAUUUACCUGUACUUCCUACCCGCAACUUCCCUCCUUUGAAUGAUAUCUUGUUCCACCCUAGCAGUCUCUACAGAGCUAUCAGAGUAAUAUCACUAAAAUUCCACUGUAUACAGAGCAUCCCUGCUUCAAAAGUUGACUUGUCUCCUUGUUACUUUUGCUGUGAAGGAUGAACUACAGUCCAGUGGUCAGAGCCCACAGAGCAGCUUCAACCCACCCCGGCAAACUGCAUCCUGCAGUUCACCUGAGUCUAAGCGGACUGACCACUGUGCCCCCUUGGUGGUCUGAAUGAGAAUGGCCCCUAUGCUCAUAUAUUUUAAUGUUUGCUUCCUGGUUUGGUGGACUGUUUAGGAAGGGUUAGUUGUGAGAUUGUUGGAGGAAGUGUGUUCCCUAGGGAGGGCCUUUAGGUUUCAAAAGCCCAGGACAACCCCGGUCUUAUUCUUUCUCUCUGACUCCUGCCUACAGACCAGGAUGUAAGCUCCAGCGCCAUUGCCUGUCUGCCGCCAUGCUUGCCACCAUAAAAAUCAUGGACUAACCCUCUAAAAUGAUAAGCAAACCCCCAAUUAAAUGCUUACUUCGAUAGA